GCUUGGGGACUUGCUAAUAGCAACCAUAACUUCCUGUGGAUAACAAGGCCAGACUUGAUCAUGGGAGACACUGCAGUUCUGCCACCAGAGUUUCUGCUUGAAACUAAAGGGAGAGGUUUCAUAGCGAGUUGGUGCCCACAAGAACAAGUUCUAAACCACCAAUCAACUGGGGGAUUCAUUACCCAUUGUGGAUGGAACUCAAUAGUGGAAAGCAUAUCUGCAGGGAUACCCAUGAUCUGUUGGCCAUUUUUUGGAGAACAUUUUGUCAACUGUAGAAAGAGUUGCAAUGAAUGGGGUAUUGGAGUGGAAUUGAGUAGUAAUUUCCAAAGAGAUGAAGUGGAGAAGCUUGUUGAAGAGUUGAUGAGUGGACAGAAAGGUAAGAAUAUGAAGGAAAAGGCCAUGGAAUGGAAGAAGAUAUCAGAAGAGGCCGCAAGUCCCAAUGGAUCAUCUUCCUUCAACUUGAACAAUAUGGUGAAUGAAGUUUUCCUACUUUCAAAAAAUUGAUUUUUCUUGAUGGGAAGAAAAGUCUAUAUAUCCGG
rnacentral:misc_RNA from 1 species